CAAAACAUUUACAUUUCUUGAUAAAAACGCAUGUGUAAGGAAAAGGAAAAACAAAAUAUAUAUAUUUCUGCUUUUAUUUUUAAUUUUGUCAGGAUCGGUCCUCCAUAAGAAUCUGCCUGAGCGAAAAAGAGAAGUGAGAAACACUGAAUGCCUGAAUGUUGCUAAAGGUUGAGAAAGGAAUGGAAAACGAAAAUGAAGUGAUGCAUCUCACCUAGAGACAAGCUAGGCCGGGCGUUAGAGAGGUGAACGCUUGGUGGGAGGGGCCGAGGAGCGGGCUGGGCGCCGGUAGAGAGGAGAGAGGAAGCUGACCUAGCCAAGUUGGAGGCGAACUCCGGGGAUGUUAAGUGAGAAGAAUGGAGCGCUGGAGAGAAUCCAUGGACGAUAUGCAUAAAGCGGAGAAGAUUAAGGGAUGACUGGAGUAGAAGAAGACGUCGAUGCUUGAGGUGCAGGAGGAUCUCGGCCACGCUGGCAGGAGGAUUUUAGGGCGCUUCCGGAUGAGGUGGAAGGAGAGAAUCAUGCUGCAACAGGAGAGCUGAGCGAGGUGGAAUAAAUCCAAAUCGGAGUCGGGAGACAUGCAGCACGAUCUGGACUGGGAGAAUGGACGCCAAGCGGGAGGCCAGGCAAGUGGUUCUGCGAGCUAGAAAGGAGGAAGGAGGGCGGAGAUCCUGAAGUCGAACAUGACGUGGCUGAACGUCAAAGUCCAGCUGCAGAACGGAGGGUUUAUGGAUGAAGAUCUUGUAAAGCGGAGCCUUGAAGGAUUAUUGGCCGGGGAGAAAUGCAGACUUGACGCUGAUUGGUGGGGCAGAGCUGCAUGGAGGAGUAAUUAGACGAAGCUGCAGGUAUUCCAUUGCAGGAUAUGCAAGCAGAUGGAAGUUUGAGCAUUGACGAUUUGGGUGCAGAGUCAGCUGGUGUAAUAGUUCUACCUCCAAUCCAGUCUCCUCGGGGGCCACGAUCAAUGGAAGGACUAAAGGCAGCCAUCAAUCCUCUGAGUCACUCCCAAGACAAUGGUAGAGACGUUUACCAAGCUGCACUGAACUAUGCAAUGUUGCAUUCGGAAACAUGACAAGACAGUUCAUCAACACUGUAGACCAUAAGUUGACUGCAAUGGUAUUUUAAGUUCUUUAUUAUCAUAAUAUUUUAUAUAUUUUCUUAUUAUAUUAUAUUAUAUUACAUUACAUUACAUUAUAUUAUAUUAUAUUAUAUUGUUUAUUUUUUUUACUCCAUUUCAGAUACCUACAGGCAGGCAUAAAAGCCAUUGCACAAAGUGAUCCAUACAAAACUCAUUUUAACUGAAAAGGAAGCAUGUCUUCUGUACAAACAAGACAUCACUUCUGAAAGAAAAAAGAGAACAGUUUUGCCUUUACAAUGUCUAUUAAAGUUUACAAAUAACCAGGUUUCUAGUAUGACAAGUUGCUACUGUAAUUAUUUGUUGAAUCGUCAGAUUGAGUGUGUAUCUGAUUGAUUAUAUUUCUAACUUUGAAAGCUUUACAGCCAACUGAUUCAAUACAUUUUCGUUUUAUUUUUUUUUUUUUAACCGUGUUCUGUCAGAAUACUUGUCUGAGUGUAAUACUUGAAAGUGACUUCAUCAAAAAUGCUCAGAAAUCUCAUUGAACUGUGAAAAAAAGGCAUUUUCAUAAUUUCAAAAAAUGAUAACACACCCUAAAACAUGAACUUUGAUACUGCUAAAGACAUUGAUGUUUGCAUGUUAAAGAAAGAACUUCAUUUACUAACUAUGACUGAUGGUUCUGUAUUAUUUCAGUGAACAUAAAGGAAAUGAAAAUUA